rfam:TPA: Bos taurus chromosome 16, whole genome shotgun sequence.
UCCCUUGUGGCUCAGUUGGUAAAGAAUCUGCCUGCAAUGCAGGAGACCUGGGUUCGAUCCCUGGGUUGGGAA